rnacentral:rRNA from 1 species
GAUGAACGCUGGCGGCGUGCCUAAUACAUGCAAGUCGAGCGAAUGGAUUGAGAGCUUGCUCUUAUGAAGUUAGCGGCGGACGGGUGAGUAACACGUGGGUAACCUGCCCAUAAGACUGGGAUAACUCCGGGAAACCGGGGCUAAUACCGGAUAACAUUUUGAACCGCAUGGUUCGAAAUUGAAAGGCUGCUUCGGCUGUCACUUAUGGAUGGACCCGGGUCGCAUUAGCUAGUUGGUGAGGUAACGGCGCACCAAGGCAACGAUGCGUAGCCGACCUGAGAGGGUGAUCGGCCACACUGGGACUGAGACACGGCCCAGACUCCUACGGGAGGCAGCAGUAGGGAAUCUUCCGCAAUGGACGAAAGUCUGACGGAGCAACGCCGCGUGAGUGAUGAAGGCUUUCGGGUCGUAAAACUCUGUUGUUAGGGAAGAACAAGUGCUAGUUGAAUAAGCUGGCACCUUGACGGUACCUAACCAGAAAGCCACGACUAACUACGUGCCAGCCGCCGCGGUAA